rnacentral:tRNA from 1 species
AAGGUUUUAAGUUAAUCAAACUAAUAGCCUUCAAAGCUAUAAAUAAAAUAUUAUUUUAAGCCUUA